rnacentral:lncRNA from 1 species
AUGAAUGAGCGUGUCCUGCUAGCACUGGGAUGUGUCAGGUCCAAGGACUUGGCAUGUGGUGGCAACGCAAUAGUGGUGAGGACAGCUAGGCAGGGAAAACAGAAAGAGGAUGCUGAAGGAGCCAUACCAGGACAAACCAUGACUAGAGGAUUCUCCCCUUCAGUAAAGGGACCUGUUUAUCACCGUGAAGGGUCUUUUGUUUUAGUUCUAAAAGCCAGAUUGCAGGCAAACACAAGCUUGAGCUGUUUUCAAGUUCUUGAUCUGUUUCUCAAAAAGCUAAGCAAGAAAACAAACUAACAAAUUCGAGAUCAAAAACAUUUUUAUUCAUUUAUCUUUCUCCCACAGAUAAGACUGCAGAAUUAAAUGUCAAGGGACCUUGUGACAUUUCUGGCAGUAGUUCUGUGUACAGCUUUUAACUAGUCAAUUUUAAUCCAACUUAGUAGGGAGUUCAGAAAAGGCUUUGGGCUAGUCCAUGGCUGGAAAGACAUUGCCAUGAACUCAGCCAAAUACACAUGGAUACAUAAAUAAGGGAAGAAGAAUUAAGAUUGGUUUUGGCCCAACGUUUUUAAUAAAUUAAAAAGAUGAAACCUAAGAUUUAAUUAA